rnacentral:rRNA from 1 species
UACAUGCAAGUCGAACGGAACUACUGAUUCGGUUGGUAGUUUAGUGGCGCACGGGUGAGUAACGCGUACACAACGUACCUAUUACCGGGGAAUAGCCUUUGGAAACGAGGAGUAAUACCCCAUAGUAUGUUUGGAAGGCAUCUUCUGAAUAUUAAAGUUACGGCGGUAAUAGAUCGGUGUGCGUAAGAUUAGCUAGUUGGUGAGGUAACGGCUCACCAAGGCGACGAUCUUUAGGGGGCGUGAGAGCGUGAUCCCCACACGGGUACUGAGACACGGACCCGACUCCUACGGGAGGCAGCAGUAAGGAAUAUUGGUCAAUGGAGGCAACUCUGAACCAGCCACGCCGCGUGGACGAUGAAGGCCCUCUGGGUUGUAAAGUUCUUUAGUCUGGGACGAAAAAAGGAGAUUUAUCUUCGACUGACGGUACCAGAAGAAUAAGCACCGGCUAACUCCGUG